AAUCCAAUACCGACUUUCCUUUUCGUAAAAAGUUGCUUCUAGAUUGAAAAAAAAAUUAACCGCAAAUUUUUCUUUUUAACUUUUGCUGUCAAAUUGUCAGCUAAUUCGGGCAAGCAAAUUUCAGGCAAUUUCAAUGUCAAAUUACGGUCAAUUUCAAGCUGAAAUAGCUAUUAGGGUAGGUUUUUAUUCAGAAUGUCGCGGGGAUCUAAAAGUUUGCGUUAACUUAUUUAACAUCAACUAAUGAAUGUAAAGUUAGCCGACAUACGACAAUUUUUAUUUUCGGCAGAGCAUAUCUCCGCUGCAGUGUACAAUCGCCAUCAUCAAUGCCUGGGAAAAAAAUUUGAAAGUUGCAACCACUCUGUAUGUUGUCAUAGUUAAGGCGAAAAAUAUCCGUUGGCGACAGUGGAAGCAUAGAGGAGAGUGAACUUAGGCCAAGUGAAAGGAAAUGUAUUUAAAGUGGUUAAUAGUUCAAUGACAAAUGUAAACAAACAUAAGGGUUAGUAAAUAAAUAUUAAUUUUUAUUUGUUUAUAUAAAAAACAAUGUUGUGCUUGGUGAAGAACUGUUUAUCAAAGUGUGUAGCUUUAAUUAAUGAAUUAAAUAAAUAAAAUGUUAUUACAAGUAGUAAUUGUGAUUUAAAAAUUUCUGAUCUGUAACGUGCAGUGUUAAACGUGAAAUAUUAAUUAAAAGUUGAAUAAAAUUAAGUGAUUUCAAUUAAAGAGUAUAUACAAUCACAGACUUUAGGUUAAAUGUGCAUAAGUCUGAGGAAAAGUUAAAUUGGAGCACUUGCUAGUACUCUAGCUAAGUAUACUAUUUACGGAUACUACUGGUUAUAAGAUGUUAUAGGGUAGCUAGGACGAAUUCUGGGACAUAUUCACUAAGAUGAAAUUGAAGUUUUUGGUGGACUCUGGCUGAGGAUACUAUUUUUACAAAGACUGCUGGUUAUAAAGUAUUUACUAGUUAUGGUGAUUAUUAUCUGGGCAAAUCUGCUCGAGGCUGAUUGGAUGUUAAAUUGGAGCAUAACGUUGGAUCCCGGCUGAGGACCUUCUCUUCAUUGCGAGUACUGGCCAUUAAUUUAUGGAUGUACAGGCUACUUAAAAAAUUUCCCAAUGAAAUUUUCACGGAUUUAAUGAAGAAUUUAAUUGGAACACUCCAAAAGACUCUGGCUCACUCUCUUAAAAUAAAUUAGUGAAAAGCAGUCCAAUCAGUGAAUAUUCAUUGCAUGAAUAGUCCCAAGUAUAUCACUGAUUAAAUCAGUGAUAUACUUGGGACUGAUUCGCAGUGAAUAUUCACUGAUUUGCAGAACUUUUUACAAAUUAUGUGAAUUCAUAUUUAAAAAAAAAAUAUUAAUUGGUUUGUAACUAUAGUAACAAUGAGGACUUAGUCUCUUGUGAAUAAGAAAAAAAGUACAUCAAAAAUAAAUAUUCUUGUUCUUGUAUUUUUAACUUCCUUAAUAAAAGCUUGAGAUAAAUUACCAUCUCUAUUCUGCAUAAUUAUUGUAUUUUUAACUCUUUCUUAUUCAUUUGUUAUUUCCAUGCACUAUCGUCUAUUGUUCUUGUUGAAAUUAUUUAUUAUUGAGAUAUCUAUCGUGAUACUCUUGUGUUUAUCCGAGACUUGUCACUUACUCAUUGUCAAGAAUUUUAUUAUUUGUUUCAUUAAUAUAUUUUAAAAAAAGUUUUUGAUUUUUACAUCUUUUAAAUCAGUUCAUUGAGUGACUGUAAUGGGUGAUAUUUAUGCGAAUAAAUCAGUGAUCACAAGGGGACGAAUCGUCGGCUUACUUCAGGCUAAUGUUCAUGCAAAUGUUGUUGCCGAAUUAUGCAAUUGCAAUAUUAAGACAGUUUAUUUAUGGAAAAAAAAAUUUCGAGAACAUGGUGAAGCUGGAUUGCUAGACCACCGUAAAUUGAAUCAUCGUCCUCGACUUACUACAGUUGAUGAAGAUUUAUUAUUGCUGGAAACGUAAUUACACAACCCGUUUUCAUCAUGCGAGCAAAUCAUUCAUUUAUGCGGCUCCAAUCUUUCGCCAAUAUCAGUCGAUCUUCGCUUUAAAAAGUAUGGUAAUAUGUCAGCUCGUCCUACUAAAAAGCCAGAGCUCACAGACGCCCAUCGCAUUAAUCGCGUGCAGUAUGCUAGAAAUUAUCGAAAUUGGAUGCCUGAACAAUGGGAAGAUGUCAUUUUCACAGAUGAAAAGUCUUUUUCAACGAGUGCAGAUAACAGAUUGCGCGUUUGGCGACCACGAAACGAGAGGUUCAAUCCUGCUUAUGUGCUCCCGGAUUAUUGGUCUGGUCGAGUUACGUCCAACCAUUGGGGUUGCAUGUCUGGACGAGGAUUAAUAGCUUUGCAACCUUUGUCGGGAAAUUUCAAUGGUGAAGAAUAUGUUGAAUUACUGAAUGAGUGUAUGGAACCAGCCGUCCGUGAUAUUUAUCCGGAGGAAGACCAUCCUUUCAUAUAUUUCCUGCAAGAUAAUAGCCCGAUCCAUACCUCACGCCUUGCUCAGGAUUGGUUUAUGGCCAAUCCUGACUUCAUCCUCAUACCACAUCCUUCUAAGUCACCAGAUCUUAACCCAAUCGAGAAUGUGUGGGGUAAAACUUUAUCUUCACAAUUAAAAUAAAUAAUCUAUUGACAUAAUUCUCAUUUUUUGUUUCUUUUUGAACUUGUAAGAUAUAUAAAUUUUUUUUGUUUACACUUCUUAUAGGUAUGAUGACAAGGAAUUGGCAACCUGUGGAACCAAUCAGGACUAAGGCGAUGCUGAAUGAAUUUGUUCGUGGGGUCUGGGAUAACGUAAGCUACAAAAUUCCUGACUUAUUAAAGACAGUGAGAUCCAUGCCUAGACGUUUGGAGGAAGUUAUUGCGAAUGAUGGUUAUUCGACAAAAUACUGAAUAUUUAAAAAUUUUAAUUUUUGUAUUAAAUAUAAUUUUAUUUACAUAAUGUAAACUUAAUGGUUAUGUGUAAUGUGUUAUGUGACGAAAUAUAAACAGCUUCCGUUUUUAUAACUUUGAUUAUUUGUGAAAAAAAGCCAUCCUCAAAAGUACAACUAGAAACGGUGCUACUCCAACGUUGAGAACAUCUUGAUAUAGUAGAGGAGACCGUGGGAGACCGACCUUCACCCAUCGGAUAACCAGAUGAGACAUAUUUUUUAUCAAAUAUAAUUUAUUAACAAACAUGCCU